UCUUUAAUAAGCUUAUAUUGAAAGCAUUAAACUCUUAAUUUAAUCAAAGUGAAUUAACUAAUCACUACUAAAGAU
rnacentral:tRNA from 1 species